rnacentral:rRNA from 1 species
CACGUAGGGUGCGAGCGUUGUCCGGAAUUAUUGGGCGUAAAGAGCUCGUAGGCGGUGUGUCGCGUCGGCCGUGAAAACCUGCAGCUUAACUGUGGGCUUGCGGUCGAUACGGGCAUCACUGGAGUUCGGCAGGGGAGACUGGAAUUCCUGGUGUAGCGGUGAAAUGCGCAGAUAUCAGGAGGAACACCGGUGGGCGAAGGCGGGUCUCUGGGCCGGAUACUGACGCUGGAGGA